ACAAGUCUACCAUGCCAAAUGGGAAUAAGAUGUUGUAGUAUAACGAGUGCAAAGUAGCAUGCAUGAAUGAAAUAUCAUUGUCUCAGCAUCGUGCUGGAAAGAAGCAUGCUGCUCGUCUUUGUUUUUUGCAAGCAAAUCAUGCUGCAUAUGGUGCUACUUUUGACACGAAAGCUUCAGGAAAUGAACAUGCCUGGAGACUUAAAAACGUGGAAUCACAGAAUACUGCAGGCACAUCGAACAUCGGUCCUCAAUGAAGAAGGGAAGGGGCACCGAUCGAUGAAAAUGUAUCCGGUACCAGGACUUGCAAGAUUUGUCUUCGAUACAACUGAGAACAAAGAGUUAAUCAUCCUCCUAUUCUUAUGCAACUGUCUUCCUGUUAGCUCUUUCUCCUGUCUCAAAUAGUCUCUUAUCUUACCUGUAAAUCCUCAAACAAGAUCUUUUGGCUUUGUUGCAACCCUCAAAGUAUAACCAUUGAACUGGUCCUUUCUUUGCUUUUAUGGAUGACAACAUAUUGCAGUUUUUUGA